rnacentral:tRNA from 2 species
CGGGAUGUGGCGCAGCCUGGUAGCGCGUUCGCUUGGGGUGCGAAAGGUCGCGAGUUCAAAUCUCGCCAUCCCGACCA